UUGUAUUUGCCUCUCCUUGAUAGAGACUUGAAGAGCACAAGAGUCUCUUUCCUUCAAACUUGAAUACGCUCUUCGGUGUAUAAUGAAAGUUGACAUGAGUAUCAAGUUUCUAUCCAGUAGGACAUCCAUAAUGCCACAUCAUCGAAACUGAAUCAUUACAGGGGACGGAGAGCUUGUGAGCUGAGAGCAAGAGGCAGGAGGUGCCGCACGAGCCCAGAAGACCGGACCCCGCCUUCCCCACUCACCCUCACCCCCAGCCCCCGACACCCUGGACUGCAGGGACACAUGAUGGUCAAAGAGAAUAUUGAGCUGUGAGGUAGGAGAUGGUGACCUUCACUGCAUCAGCCUCUGUCACAUCCUGGGGCCCCAUCCCUGAGGUCACCUGGGGGAGCCAUUCUCGAGCCAUCCUCCUUCCAGGUGACGUUCUCAGCUGCAGCAGAAACUGACUCGGGCCAAUUUUGGAAGAAAAAUAAGGCAUUAAAAUGUGUUGACCUUCCAGGCAGCCUGAACAGUCCGCCUUCCCACCUUGCAGAGCCGGGAAAGUCCCAUAGUGACAUCACAGACUAGGAGCAAAGUCAAGACGUGACCAAGGCCACCCUCCAAGGGGACACUAGAGGCCACCACUGCAGACCAGGGGCAGCUCCUGCCGCCCUGUGCUCAGCACACCGGCUCCUGAGCCGCCGUCCCCGGCAUGCACCAGCUAGAGGGAGUCCAGGAGGCAAGGGUCAGCUUCCCGGAGUGGCAGUCUCGCGCCCAUCACGACAAGCACAACCUAAGCUGAGUAAUGAUGAGACUGCGGGCGGCCCCGCCUGCAGCCCCAGCCUGCUGUCUCUCCCACGAGUCUCCUUCCAGGAACCCUCACAUAUCCAUUGCCAUUUUACCUCUUUGGCUUAGUUUCACCCCAGAAUGAGCUGCGCUGUCAUCACCCACCCGACCGGAUGGUUUUAGAGAAGCAACUUUUGAUGGAAAGUACCAAAACAUCAGGGGUUGGGGGGUUCCAAAGAAAACACCGCAAGUUUUUACCAGAGUUGACCUGGCUGACAUUUUUGUGUUAAAGAUGCAAUCAUGUAAUCUUCCCUCUGGGCUUGCUCAUUCUGGGGCUCCAUCUGCCGGCUGAGCACCAUCCCCACUGUGUGCAGCUCCAGGCUCACCUGGUCCAGGAGGCAGUCCAUGGAGACUGUUUGGAAAGUGGCCUAAGACAUUCCUGCUUUAGCUCACCAUUUCCGUGAAGCCCACCCAGAUUCCUCUGGCCACCCCUGUGUCAAGGUCAGCAGAGACCUCGCUGUUUUCCAGGGAUUUCCCUGCUGGAGCCUGUUCUCGGCUCUAAAAUGCCAGCAUCCAGCACCUGCCUGGAGGAAGGAGGCCCAGGACCCAUGGGGUGCAGCAGCGAGGCUGUCUGAUCUCAGUUCGGUCUUUAGCAACGACUUCUCGGAGGCGUUGACGUCUAAGCUCCACGGUUCACACGUGGGGAAGGAAGCAGGAAAGGACCGGGUGCAGAGCUGCUGAGCAGAGAGAAGUAGGGGCCGCCCCUCAGCCCCGGGGGAUGAAGUGUUUGGAGAAGCGUGGCUCUGGGCUCAUCUGGAAAGUAUGCUUCUUGAAAGGGAGAUGAUGCAAAACACUCUGCGCGGUGCCCACAACUGUCGCCUGGGGGCUCAGCUCCCUCUGCCAAGAGCUGGGCGACUCCAGGCUGGAAUCUUUCAGGAGCCCAUUAGGUGGGCGUCGGGCUGGAGGCUGGGGCCCAGCUCCAGGAGGGCCACAGGCCACUGUGGCGUGGCUUCAGUCGAAAGUCCCCCACCACGCGCCCCUUUGGAGGAUGUUUCAUUGGCCUCUGGUCUCAGCCUCUUUCUCUCGCCCGACCUUUGAGAGAGCCGGCCGCGAUGGCUGUUCAGCUGAUAGAGGUGUGAGACGGGGCGGCGGGCAGGGUGCUCCGUGUG